rnacentral:rRNA from 1 species
GACGAACGCUGGCGGCGUGCUUAACACAUGCAAGUCGAACGGAAAGGCCCUGCUUGCAGGGUACUCGAGUGGCGAACGGGUGAGUAACACGUGGGUGAUCUGCCCUGCACUUCGGGAUAAGCUUGGGAAACUGGGUCUAAUACCGGAUAGGAGCCAUCUUUAGUGUGGUGGUUGGAAAGUUUUUUCGGUGUAGGAUGAGCUCGCGGCCUAUCAGCUUGUUGGUGGGGUAAUGGCCUACCAAGGCGGCGACGGGUAGCCGGCCUGAGAGGGUGUACGGCCAAAUUGGGACGGGGAUACGGCCCAGACCCCGACGGGGGGAAGCAGGGGGGAAAUUUGCACAAUGGGGGCAAGCCGGAUGCAGGGCCGCCGGGGGGGGGAGGAAGGCCUUCGGGUUGUAAACUCCUUUCGCUAGGGACGAAGCUUUUUUGUGACGGUACCUAGAUAAGAAGCACCGGCUAACUACGU